CCCUUAUUCAGAGUAGCUGAGGGAACAGGCCCUAUGAAGCUCGGCAACCUGCCAUUGGCAAGGUGCUAAAUCCUGCGGUGUAACCGAAAGAUAAGGC
rfam:Ruminococcus sp. CAG:563 genomic scaffold, scf84